GACAGAGGGUGCAAACGUUGUUCGGAUUCACUGGGCGUAAAGGGUGCGUAGGCGGUCGGGUAAGUCUGAUGUGAAAUCUCACAGCUUAACUGUGAAACUGCAUUGGAUACUAUCCGGCUAGAGGAAUGGAGGGGAGACUGGAAUACUUGGUGUAGCAGUGAAAUGCGUAGAUAUCAAGUGGAACACCAGUGGCGAAGGCGAGUCUCUGGACAUUUCCUGACGCUGAGGCACGAAAGCCAGGGGAGCAAACGGG
rnacentral:rRNA from 1 species